CACUUACUACAAUUGUCAAUCAUCUUGAGAGUAUAAGUUCCAAUUUCUUUUGGGGUGGUUGCCUGGAUAUCAAAAAAAAUCUUUUGGAUUGCUCGGAAGAAAGUGACUCUAAGGAAAUGGAGUGUCGUGUAUUUAAAGUCUACUAGUACAUAAACUAUUUUUUAAUGCGGUUAAAAUGAUUAAUUGGUAUGGAUAUCAAACCACACCAACAAAUAUCACAUCAAAAAACACCCUUAUUUAAUGGUGCAGUUAUAAAACCACACCAAAAAAUAGCCAAAACUGAACCAACAAAUAAUCCGAGAAAAAAUUGCAAACUGCACCAAAAAACAAUGAAAACCGCACCAAAUAGGGAAUAAUACCCAAAAAAACUCCAUUGCACCAAAAAAUAGAUUUUGUACUACUGUUCGUAUUGUUGCCCAACAAAAAUUGAGUUAUAAACUUCCGAUCAAUUGUGCUUGUUGUAGGUGAAAUUGGUGAAAUCACAGGAGACCUUCCAUUUGGAUGGUUGGGGAGGGCAAAUUCAUCCUCCUUGAAGCUAUGAGAUACCGACACCAUCUGACCGAGAAGAAACACCGAUCGGAAACCACCAUUAGACCACCAUAAUCUCCGCCACUUGUUUGUUGCCCAUAACCACAAUCACUAAGCGCACCGCUUUUUCCACCAUUAACGGCCAUCGAGCAUCUAUACAUCGACCACCUUCACAACUGGGCUCACAAAACAAUAAACCACUACCCGUUAACGUCAUCUCCAUAUGCCCUACCUUAGCCGGAACUCACCCGUUAUCAUCUCCACUUCCUGAAAACAAUUCCUACAUCUUCAUUUCAUGCAACCACCCACACACCAGUAUCUCUUACAUAUUUCCAAUCUACCACCUUUAUUCAACUUUAAACAUGUUUAACUUGACGCCACCAAAGGUGAAUCAGAAAAAGAAAAGGAAGAAGAAAAGAAAUUUGAUUUGCGUAACUACCUUUUCCACCACUAACCACCGAGAGCACUGACCACAGAGCCCCUGCCUUUUCCUAAAACCAUCCAUGCACCUCAAUCUCUUACAUACUUCUGAUCCAUCACCCUUAUUCUACCUUUAACAACCUGGCGGCACCUAACUCGAAUCAGAAAGAAAUAUAAGAGAGGGAAAAGAAAUAAGAGUGUGGCAUGGUAGGAUAAGAGAGGUAAAAGCAAGACAUGGUAAGUUUCUACCGAAUUGGGAUCCAAAGCUUGACAUGCAGAGAGCUAGUGUUUACGGAGCUAUGACAUCGCGCUACAUGUUUGAUCCACUCCCCAUAGCCUUAAUAUUGGUUGUGUAAGUGGAAAAGUGAGAAAACAAGAUUUUAAUGAAAGAUUUGUUUGUGACAGAUUGCUAAUGAACAUAGUCUAAUUCCUUAAGGAAAUGCACACUCUUUUAUUUUAUUACCAACCGCAUAAGUGUCACAUCAUUUUCCCCUACUUUCCUCUUUUGUCGCCUCUCACCUAAUUAAUUAUAUAUAUUAAUGCAGUUGUAUAAUACAAGUUGAAAAAGAAAAAUAGAUAAAAAGGGUUGGGUAUGGUGCAUUUAUUUUAUACUAUAGAGGUAUAAAUGUACUUUAAUGGUAGGGUGAUCUUCAUCAUAGGCCUUACAUCUACAUCGACUUUAGGCUAAAUGGAGUGGUUAUCACCAGCCCACCGAAAAAGUGUUCCCACCUCUAUGCUACAUCAGCUUCACUACGAACUCACCACCAACCCACUACACCUUGGAAAUGGUCACCACUAACAAUAUUCAUUUUUU
rnacentral:lncRNA from 1 species